UACGAAGGGGGCUAGCGUUGCUCGGAAUCACUGGGCGUAAAGGGUGCGUAGGCGGGUCUUUAAGUCAGGGGUGAAAUCCUGGAGCUCAACUCCAGAACUGCCUUUGAUACUGAAGAUCUUGAGUUCGGGAGAGGUGAGUGGAACUGCGAGUGUAGAGGUGAAAUUCGUAGAUAUUCGCAAGAACACCAGUGGCGAAGGCGGCUCACUGGCUCAUUACUGACGCUCAGGCGCGACAGCGUGGGGAUCAAACAGG
rnacentral:rRNA from 1 species